GUAAUUCCUGCCUAUUAAUUGUAGGCCAAUGAAAGGAUUGACGGGCUAAAAUUGUCUCGUUUAUGAAAGUAAAAAUUAACCUUGUAGUGAAGAGGCUGCAAUAUAUUAAAAGGACGAGAAGACCCUGUCAAACUUUAGUAUAGGGUGAAAUCGGUAUUAAUUAUAUUGAAUUUUAUUUAGUAUUUUGGUUGGGGCAACUUAGAAGGAUAAAGACUUUUAUUACAUAAAAUUAUAAUUUUUAGGUGACUUUAUCCAAACUAGCCGUAAUAAGGAGUAAUUAGAUUUUGAAUAUAGAAUAAGUUACUGG
rnacentral:rRNA from 1 species